rnacentral:rRNA from 1 species
UACGUAGGGUCCGAGCGUUGUCCGGAAUUAUUGGGCGUAAAGAGCUCGUAGGCGGUGUGUCGCGUCGGCCGUGAAAACCUGCAGCUUAACUGUGGGCUUGCGGUCGAUACGGGCAUCACUGGAGUUCGGCAGGGGCGACCGGAACAAACGGUGGAGCGGUGAAAUGCGUAGAUAUCGUUUGGAACGCCAGUGGUGAAAACGGGUCGCUGGGGACAUGCUGACGCUGAGACACGAAAGCCAGGGGAGCAAACGGG